AGAGUUUGAUCAUGGCUCAGGAUGAACGCUGGCGGCGUGCCUAAUGCAUGCAAGUCGAGCGACGCAUACCGGAGGGGUAACCCACUGGUAUGACGGAGCGGCGAACGGGUGAGUAACACGUGAGUAACCUGCCCCACAGACCGGGACAGCCCAGGGAAACCUGGAUUAAUACCGGAUACCCUCGGGGGAUCGCAUGAUCUUUCGAGGAAAUGCCUUUGUGCUGUGGGAUGGACUCGCGACUUAUCAGCUAGUUGGUGGGGUAACGGCCUACCAAGGCGUCGACGAGUAGCUGGUCUGAGAGGACGAUCAGCCACACUGGGACUGAGACACGGCCCAGACUCCUACGGGAGGCAGCAGCAGGGAAUCUUGCGCAAUGGGCGAAAGCCUGACGCAGCAACGCCGCGUGGGGGAUGAAGGCCUUCGGGUUGUAAACCCCUUUCAGGAGGGAAGAAAUUGACGGUACCUCCAAAAGAAGCACCAGCCAACUACGUGCCAGCAGCCGCGGUAAUACGUAGGGUGCGAGCGUUAUCCGGAAUCAUUGGGCGUAAAGAGCUCGUAGGCGGUUCAGCAAGUCGGCUGUGA
rnacentral:rRNA from 1 species